rnacentral:tRNA from 1 species
CAAAUUAAAGCUUAAUAGAAAGCUUUCCAUUUACACUGGGGACGAUUACUGUGCAAUUCAGUUUAAUUUGA